AUGCCUCAUGUCUCUAAAGCUGCUCUUCAGUUGUAAACAGAGUGAGAGAGAUAGAGCGAGAGAGAGAAGAAGGAAGAGAAACGGAGAGUGCAUCAGAGCGAGGAGAGGAGAGAUAUUUUCAGUCUCGCUGUCUUUAUAGCAGAGCUUUCCUCCAGUGAGGUGGCUGGUGAGGAUUAGGGAUCUACGUUGGUCAGGAGGUUGGAUUGAGAGCAGGAGAUAUUCCUUGAAAUGCUGGGGCUGUUUAUUCAUCUCAGGAUAGACGGAUGGAGGAAAGUGAAUGAGGUGGGAGGUAAAAGGCAGAGUGAGUAAAAACAAGUGCUUAUAUUGUGUAGGUGGAUGCUGGAUUGAUGACAGCUGGAUCAAAAUGUGGAUGUUGUUGUAGUGAGCGAGGGGGAAGAGGAGGGUUUUACGGUGAAAUCAGGGUGAGAAGUGAAUGUGACUCAGACCUUUCAGCCACUUCCGUUGGCAUCUUCAGGAUGGAAAGAUCAAAGGAGGAGAUGAACGAGUCAUGUUGUGGUCAGCUGACUCACAACGGAGGAAUGGAUACUGGGAAAAGGAAGCUUGGUCAUGUGGUCUGGUGUUCCAAUAUGCAUGCGCAUGAGUUUACUACGCUGGAAGAGCAAUUAUCCUGUUUCCCGUCAAGCCAGAGGAAUGCAGAGUGAGAUUCCCGGUCUGUGAGUCGUGCCCUCUCACCUGUCACCUCCAUAUGGAUCCUAUUUCAUCCUUUCCCCUUCCCCCCUCGGCCAGGGAAUUUCCCAGCUUGUGUGGUUCUCGUCACGGAGGAAGCUCAAGCCUGUUUUUUCUGUUAAUGAUAGGAUACUUUAUGUUGUGGUUAGUUUAACAGGGCUGUGUUCCUCUGUUUUUCACCGCACACAAUUUAAUUUGCCAAUUUGCAGGUCAGGAAUCCAGCGGAGGCCUACACUGGAAGGGAAAAAAAUUACUCUAUGUGUGGUAUUUUCACAGCAUUCUACAUUUGGCCCCAAACAACCAUGGAGGAGAUCAAUCUAUGGAUUUAUGUGGAUGAAGUGCGCACAUAGAGUAAUCGCUUGUUGGUGCUGGCUAGUCCAAGGAUGCUUUGUCAUGCUGGAGAGAAGACAGCCCUGAGGAGCUCAGAACCUACAGUACAAUAUAAUACAGGACGCCUCAGUACGGGACAGGAGUGGCUUUAAACCGGAGAAGCGGGUAUGAAAACGUCUUCAAGGAGGAAGUCAUUCACUGUGUCGCAGGUGACUGGCGGCUCGCAGAGGUCUGCACAAUCAGGUAGGUGGAGCACCAGGAGGCACCCAGGAGUUUCCAACCAGCUUUGCUGAGGUGGUUUCUCCAAAAACAUCCCUUCGGAUCCGAGCUAAAUUCCUUGCACCACUUCUGUCAUGGCUCUAGCCGGCUGUGUAACCACACCCUCUGGUGUUCAUCUGGGAAAUUAGCAACUGAACAAAUACAGCCAGCUUCCGUCCUCAAACAGCAGCAGCCUUUGAGCUACACCUGCAUCCACUUUGCUAAAGGAAGCUUGCCAGGCCAUGAAUAUACAAGAAUGUCCUUUUCUGUAUUAAACCUAUUAACAGUGUCAAUCAGAAGACUUGUUGAGUAAAGAACUGCACUCAGAAACUGAUUUCAUUUGGUGACGUAGAUGUUUGUACACAGUCUCUAGCACCAUAUGAAAUCAGUGUUCUGGGAGGUGGACUAUCAGACUCUGUACAUGAAUAAACUGAAAUAUGAUGCCAUGAAAGUAGGUCGCAUUUGUUUGAAUUGCAUCCGGUUUCUACUGCCUCGCUGCUCAAAGGUGCUGACUGGCUUCUUAAGUCUUCAUCAAAAUUGUGCCUCAAUUCUUCUGUGAACUCUUUCCCCUGAUGGUAAAUGUAUUAUUGAACUUCUGAUUUUGUUAAAUAAAGAUAAACUUAUAUUUUGUGUUUAUAAAGAAUGUAAUUUUUUUAUAUGGGUUUUUGUAUUGUGUUUAAUAAAGGUAAAGAUCAAUAAAGCACACACAAGCAGCUACUGCCUAUGUUCUGAAAUUAGUUGAAACGACUGGUGAAUGGUGUCCAAGUGAGGACUUGUUAAAGAUAUUUACCAUUUAGAUGCCUUAAAGUCAUUUACCAAUAAUGUCUUUAAUAAAGUAAAAGUUAAAUUAAGGUUUCAUGGAUGAAAUAUUGGGUUUGGGUUUGAUUCUCUUCUCUCCCUGGGCACAUCUGUGUGGAGUUUGAAUGUUCCCUGUGUUUCCAAAGAGCAGGACUCCUCUGGGUGACAAUGCUUUGUUCAUACAAGGAGUCAGAGGAGAAUGGCCAGACUGCUUUGGGCUGAUAUUACAGCAAAAGUACCUCAAAUAACAACUCACCCUAGCCAAGGGGUGCAGAAGAGCAUCUCCUAAUCUACAACACUUCAAAAGCUUGAAGCAGAUGGGCUACAGCAGCACAAGACGAGACUGGGUGCCACACCUGUUAGAUCAUAACAGGAAAGUGAGGUUACAGUUCACAGGGGCUCAACAAAACUGGACAAUAGAAGAUGAAAAAAUGUUACUCUCGAUUUCUGCUGCUACAAUCGAAUACUAAGGUCAGAAUUUGGUAUAAACAGCAUAAAAGCAUGGACUUGUCCUGGCUUGGAUCAACGGUUCAGGCUGGUGGUGCUGGUGUAAUGGUGUGACAAAUGUUUUCUGGACACACUAUAGGCCCCUUUGUAUCACUUGAAUAUUGCUUAAAUGCCAGAGCCUGCCUGAGUAUUGCUGCUGUCGCAAAGCUCAGAUCAUUUUAAAACUGGUUUCUUGAAUAUGACAAGUUCAUACUUCAAAUCAUCAGAUUUCAAUCCAACAAAGUGCUUUUGAGAUGGGGGAGAACAGCAGAUUCACACCAUCUUCAGAAAAUGUGUGACACUAUCAUAUCAAUGUGGACUUAAAUGUCUGAGGAAAGUUUCAAGCUCAAGCUUGUUGAUUCUCUCCUAUGAAGAGUUAAGGGAAGACAAAAGGGGGUCAAAUCAAGUAAUAAUAAGUUAUACUUAAUAAAGUGACUGUGCAUUGUUCUCACAAACUGCAAGGCAUGAAUACAAAGAUACGCUACAAGCUUUGUGCAGAUGAGAUGGCAACGUUUAGAUGGGAAUGCUGGGAUUUUACUGAUAAUAACUUUCACAACAUUAGAUAUCUGAGUCUGAGAAAAGACAAGUACCAUUUUAUAUGCUGAUGUUAUAUAUUUCUCAGUUAGAAAAACUAAAUAAUAUAGGCCCUGGAGCAAAAAUAAGGUGUGUGUCUAAAACAACGUGCACUACAGACUUAUUACCUGAAUAAACUUUAUUGUCAAGUGUCUAAACACAAAAAAAAGGAAUUUACCUCAGGCUAUCAAAAAGCCACGAGCAGUCAGAGAGGAGCUGUAAAUAAUAACAAUCAACAAUAAUUAUAAUAAUAUUGACACUGACAAUAAAUAAGACAAAUAAGAUUAAAAAUAAACUAAAUAGAGUAAAGAGAAAAUGGCAGCGUGAGGAGUGUGUACUGGGCAUUACAAACCUGGUAUUAUCGAAGAAAAAACACUUGAAAUGAAAAUAACAAAAGGGAUUAGUUACUCAAUUAGUCUUGCACUACUGUGCCUCUGCCUCAACUAAGCCGACCUGUUAUCAUUUCUCAGGAGUCAUGCGUCAGAGGCACUGCAGGGCAGGCCAUAACUAUGUGCCAUGACCAUAUAGAAGGUUAGUACCAUAAAAAUACCACUGAAUCCACUUACAGUAUGAAAGAUGGAUUUCGCUAUGGC